rnacentral:rRNA from 1 species
CCUACGGGAGGCAGCAGUGGGGAAUAUUGCACAAUGGGGGAAACCCUGAUGCAGCAACGCCGCGUGAGCGAUGAAGGCCUUCGGGUCGUAAAGCUCUGUCCUAAGGGAAGAUAAUGACGGUACCUUAGGAGGAAGCCCCGGCUAACUACGUGCCAGCAGCCGCGGUAAUACGUAGGGGGCAAGCGUUAUCCGGAAUAACUGGGCGUAAAGGGUGCGUAGGCGGCCCUGCAAGUCAGAAGUGAAAGGCUACGGCUCAACCGUAGUAAGCUUUUGAAACUGUAGGGCUUGAGUGCAGGAGAGGAGAGUAGAAUUCCUAGUGUAGCGGUGAAAUGCGUAGAUAUUAGGAGGAAUACCAGUUGCGAAGGCGGCUCUCUGGACUGUAACUGACGCUGAGGCACGAAAGCGUGGGGAGCGAACAGGAUUAGAUACCCGGGUAGUC